CUCCUCCCGGCCCUCCCACAUGCUGAGCCUCCUGCCGGAGACGCUCUCCCUUUCCUCUCACUUCUUCCAGAAGGCCUCCUCUGACCCUGCAGAUCACGGCGCUGUUUCCUUUCUGUCCACUGGGUGCCCUGUGAUUGUCUACCUCACUUCCUGCCUCUGCCCCUGAUUUGAUGGCGAAACAGGUUCUCGUCGUGUGACACCACCACCACACCAUCCCGGGUCAGCCGGCAGUCAAGCUCCAGAAAGUCGGAUCGCUGGGCCACGGAGCUAUGGGAGUGAAGGCUCAUUCUUCCUUGGAAUGCUUUUGUUGGCCAGGACCUUUUUUGGCUGUCUGGGAAACACCCACAUUUAGGAUAUUCUUUACCAGGUGAGGGAAUAUCCCUCUGCCCAGGCAGUAGGACAUGGUGAAGCUGCAGUUCUCCGGGUCUGUCUGACUCCAUCAUGCUCCACAGCCUCUUGAGGGUGGUCCUGUCUCUCUCCAUAGCGGAUGUACCCAUCAGGACUCUUUCAGUUGUAAGUGCCAGAAAUCCAACUCAAACUUACUGGCCUAUGUGGAAGAAGGAACCUAUGUCUUAUGUGACAGAAAGGCUAAGGGGUUCAGGCA